rnacentral:rRNA from 1 species
GAUGAACGCUGGCGGCAUGCUUAACACAUGCGAGUCGAACGGGAAGUGGUGUUUCCAGUGGCGAACGGGUGAGUAACGCGUAAGAACCUGCCCUUGGGAGGGGAAUAACAACUGGAAACGGUUGCUAAUACCCCGUAGGCUGAGGAGCAAAAGGAGAAAUCCGCCCAAGGAGGGGCUCGCGUCUGAUUAGCUAGUUGGUGAGGUAAUAGCUUACCAAGGCGAUGAUCAGUAGCUGGUCCGAGAGGAUGAUCAGCCACACUGGGACUGAGACACGGCCCAGACUCCUACGGGAGGCAGCAGUGGGGAAUUUUCCGCAAUGGGCGAAAGCCUGACGGAGCAAUGCCGCGUGGAGGUGGAAGGCCUACGGGUCGUCAACUUCUUUUCUCGGAGAAGAAACAAUGACGGUAUCUGAGGAAUAAGCAUCGGCUAACUCUGUG